GCAUUAACGUACAGAUACGAAAACUCUGUUGUAAUCGUGACAUUUACAAAUUUCGUGCUUUUUCAGUCCAUCUGUAAGAUGGUAUGUACAUCUUACAUUAACUUUUCUUGGAAUUUCGAGUUAAAUCUUGAUUGAUCCAAGAGUAAAAAAUGAAUCACUGGCUGCUGUCAGUUAUGCAAAAGACAUUGCUAAUUCGCACGAAAGAAAACUUUUUCGCUGCAGUAGUUGUACACCGACCAGAAAUUCCAAGACCAGGAAGCUGAGGGGACAUGUGAGCCAUGGGAAUGGCCGUGAUGGCAAACACAGGAAACAUGCUGGUGGUCGCGGUAAUGCAGGUGGCAUGCAUCACCACAGAAUAAACUUUGACAAAUAGUGAGUAUGGGGCCGUUUGUGCUGGGCGGGGGGCUCAUGGCACCUGUGUGAAAGUGGGCUAUAUGGGUGGAGAUGAUUAAGGCUGACACUGAGCAUGUGGGAUCAUCAGGUACCUCGCUUGUUUGAUAACAUGAGGGAUCGUACCAGGGUCUUUCACAAAACAAGGCUUAAGCUUUUGAAGGAAAGUAGUGCAUGAUAUCCUAUGUGCACAUUAUAUAUGCAAAAUGUUAUAAAAGAAACUUUGAGAAGUAACAGAUCAUUGCCAGAUACUGACUGUUCUAUUGUUUCAUGAUUCAUUGUACCUUGAUCCAUUGUGACUGUGUACCUUUAUUAAACUAACAGUUUGUUUUGAAUGUUAGUGUGGUUUUCCGAGUCAUUUUCAGGUUCUCCAGCUCAGGACUCAGGCAUAACGUUUUCUGCUGGUCUGCAACAUGACUGAGGUUAGAUUGUCAUCCUGAAAUUUGCCAUUGCCUUGGAGUCUCUAUGCAACUGUGGCUUUUGUGAGGGAACACUACAGUAAAGUGUCUUCAUUCAUUUAUCCAGUAGACAUCCAUUGUGCAAAGUGACAUUAAAUGUACAGUUAGAAACUAGAUUCUUGAGACGGUUCGUCUUUCUUUAGGUGUAAUUACGGAAAGGAUUGGUCAUCAUCCCUUUAGAGUUUCCAUGACUGCAUUAUGCCUUGUAGGAGACUUCUGUGGGGAUGUGUAGUGAUGUGGACCCUUGGCACUGCACGCCUCCUUUGUCAGCAUGUUUUUUGUUUGCUUUUAGUGUCCGACAUCAGCUGUGCUCAUUACACCCAGCCAUCCAGGUUACGUUGAAAUGGUUGGUAUGAGACAUUUUCCAAAAGAGCUCUAAAAGCUGAAAUCUCUAAUUUGCAGGAUAGUAAGGGUCUUAUAAUUGAAAAUGAAAUUGAUAUAGUAAAUGAGUUUAAUGAUUAUUUUAUACGGGUGUUCACAGUAGAUAUCUUACCAACAUUUAAUACGAAUACAGCAUGGUCUAUGUCUAAUAUAUGUAUAACUGAGGCUGAUGUGGUACAAAGCCUAGCUAAGCUCAAAAUAAAUAAAUCGCAGGGCUCUGAUGGUAUCUUACCUAUAGUUUUAAAAGAGAUGAGGGAUAUUGUAAUGGUGCGUUCGUUUUUCUCUUGGAACUCGGAAAUUCCGAGUUGAGUGACAUCACGUCCGACAAUCUCCCGUUCGAGCUACCACAUCUCGGAACAAACAUGGCUGCCUCCAUGAACACUCUGCUGUGUGUUGUUGCUUUAUAUUUUGCAGUUUUGGAGUAAGAUUACACCAAAAACAAUUUAAAAGGCCUAUAGGAUGUUGGGUUACAUCUCUAGGUGUGUGGAGUUUAAAUCAAGGGAGGUGAUGCUACAAUUGUAUAAUUCCUUGGUAAGACCCCACCUAGAAUAUUGUGUGCAGGUUUGGUCAUCAUACCUUAAGAAGCAACGUAGGGCGACGAGAAUGAUUCUUGGUCUUAGAGGAAUGUCUUAUGAGGAGAGGUUAGCUGAGCUGAAUCUGUUUAGCCUCGAGCAAAGGAGACUAAGGGGGGGACAUGAUCCAGAUAUAUAAGAUUCUAACAAGUUUGGAUGCUGUUCAGCCAAAUGGCUACUUUAAUAUUAGUUUAAAUAAUCGUGACCAUAGGUGGAAAUUAGCAGGAGAACAUUUUAAACUGAAUUUGAGAAAACACUUAGAGUAUAGAGUACUUCCUGCUAGUGUAGCACAAGCUAAAACCCUGGGAUCCUUUAAAUCAGAGCUAGAUAAAAUUUUAACAACUCUGAGCUAUUGCUUAAGUUCUCCCCAAAUGAGCUUGAUGGGCAGAAUGGCCUCCUCUCGUUUGUAAAUUUCUUAUGUUCUUAUUAGCACCCAAAGAGGAACUCGAUGUUCUGUCCAAUCAUCAACCUAGACAAGCUCUGGACAUUGUUAAGUGAGCAGACCAGAGUUAAUUAUGGCAAGAAACCUGACGGUCCUGCCCCCAUCAUCGCGGUCAUGCAAGCAUUAAGUGAAAAGUCAUGCUUUGUUGCAGCAGACUGGCAUAGGAUCUGUUCUAGGGCUCCUUCCAUGUAUCUGUGGGGAGUUUUAACUUAAGCGUUAAAUGCUAUCCACUGAUUUUUUUAUAUCACUGAACUUUUUUUUUGUUUAAAGCUGUUGAAAGGAGUCAUCUUCACUGUUAUAAAUCAGGAAUGUACACAGAGAGGGAAUAUGCUGAUUUGGCAUGUAUGUGCUUGAGUUUUAAUUCUGCAUAUUUUACCAUAAUGGACUAUGCGGAGUGCCUUUUGGCCAUUGCACUGUGUUCCUUAGGUAGGUCUGGAUCAUGGUGGAUUUUUCCAUCUAAUGUAAAUUCUCCUCAUAGUUUUCUGCAAAGGAUUCUGCACCUCAAAAACCCUGAAAUAUCAACAGUUGAAAAAAAGGACUAAAAUAGACAUUGAACUAUUUAUACCGUUAAAUGGAAACUGCGUGGAAGUGGAAAAAGUUCCUGCCCACAAGUCAUGUGGUUGAUUAUAGUGAGAUUAAUGUUUCGCUUGUUUUUUGUCUGAGUUUUCCAACUUCGGUUUAGGUUUGGGUUUUAAUAUCAGGCGCCAGUUUGCACAUUUCGAGCUGACUGGUGAUCAUUGUUGCUGAGGAUAUUAAAUUGUCAGACUGCAUUACUUGGUCAUUUUUGCAGCUAAAUUUCUUCCAUCCAAAAUGCCACCUAGACUAAUACAGUUAACAAAGCACUCUUUGUAUUUUUACUUUACAGCAAGAAUUCAUUUAUAUUUGUUGUUGCAGUUCCUGUUAAUAGAUAUAUCUUAGUGUUUUUGCCAACAUUUUUGAUUUCUUUCAAACAUCACGCUGAAAUUAAAGAUUAUGGUGGUUUGACUAAAAAUACUGGUCAGUUUCACCCUCAGUUUUUCACAGAAAAAGUGAAAUUUUGCAAUCAAAUGGCAGAAACCUGCCAUGGAAAUGAAAGUGAGGUGAAUCAUCAGGUCAGGGGAUACCCCAGUAGCCACAUUUCAAAAAGAAUGUCUUUAUUAUCAGAAUGAAACAUUGUGACUUAUUGAACAUAACCUGGGCCAAUUUUCAGUAAUUACCUGCCAGUACCUAAUGGUACCUUCAGUACCACAAACUCAACAUCCGUACGGAGAUUUUUGUUCGAAUGACCUUAGCAUUGGAUAUUAGGGCUUCAUUGAUGAACCUUAACACUCUGUGCUGUUGCUUGCUUGAUCAAUAGGGAGCAUUGUGUGCUUCCCUGAAAUUCUGUUUUUACAGGGUUACUUCAAAGUGUUGGGCAAAGGGAAACUCCCAAAGCAGCUCGUCAUCAUGAAGGCCAAGUUCUUUGGCAGGAAGGCUGAGGAGAAGAUUACGGAAGUGGGAGGAGCUUGUGUGCUCAUGACCUGGACAGUUUUUUAAAUAUAUAUUUUUUUAUUAAAUGGGAUAUAUGGAGUAUUUUUGUAUAGCUUUGUUUAGCUUUUAUGCUGUUUUGUAAGGCGUCCUGGUACUGCUUACUUGCUACACGCACCUGCUAAUCAGGCUUCUGUUUUACGUCAUGGCACUGGAUCCAUCCUCCUCAGCUGCAUUUAGUAGUGUGAUAUGUAUAAAUAUGCACAAAAUGUGUGUGUGGAGUGGGGAGGGUCCACCGUUAGCUGUGUGGGUUUGUGGAAACCCCCAGAUGGGUUUUCAGCACCACAUUUGGUUAUUCUGUAAAGGAUCUCUGAAGCAUUAUUCAAUUUCUGCUCGAUGACACCUAAAGUUGCAAAGAUACAGAUAGUUUAAAAAAAACUCCAGCAGUUUCAAAAGAGGUUCAUAUUAUUAGAUUGGGUAGUUCUG